UGUAUACAAUUGCUCACAGUACGCCCGC
rnacentral:sRNA from 1 species